CCCUUAGAUGUCCUGGGCCGCACGCGCGCUACACUGACAUGUUCAACAAGCCUCCUAGUUCGACAGGAUUUGGGAAAUCUUUGAACGCAUGUCGUGAUAGGGAUAGAUCAUUGCAAUUAUUGAUCUUGAACGAGGAAUUCCUAGUAAACGCGAGUCAUCAGCUCGCAUUGAUUACGUCCCUGCCCUUUGUACACACCGCCCGUCGCACCUACCGAUUGAAUGUUUCGGUGAAGAUUCCGGAUAGGACUUUUAUGAUUUAUUUCAAUUUUGUCUUAAAAGCUAUCUAAACCUCAACAUUUAGAGGAAGGUGAAGUCGUAACA
rnacentral:rRNA from 1 species